rnacentral:rRNA from 1 species
AUUGAACGCUGGCGGCAGGCCUAACACAUGCAAGUCGAGCGGAUGAGAGGAGCUUGCUCCUCGAUUCAGCGGCGGACGGGUGAGUAAUGCCUAGGAAUCUGCCUAGUAGUGGGGGACAACGUUUCGAAAGGAACGCUAAUACCGCAUACGUUCUACGGGAGAAAGUGGGGGAUCUUCGGACCUCACGCUAUUAGAUGAGCCUAGGUCGGGUUAGCUAGUUGGUAGGGUAAGGCCUACCAAGGCGACGAUCCGUAACUGGUCUGAGAGGAUGAUCAGUCACACUGGAACUGAGACACGGUCCAGACUCCUACGGGAGGCAGCAGUGGGGAAUAUUGGACAAUGGGCGAAAGCCUGAUCCAGCCAUGCCGCGUGUGUGAAGAAGGCCUUCGGGUCGUAAAGCACUUUAAGUUGGGAGGAAGGGCUCAUAGCGAAUACCUGUGAGUUUUGACGUUACCAACAGAAUAAGCACCGGCUAACUUCGUGCCAGCCGCCGCAGUAA